UACAGAGGGGGCAAGCGUUGUUCGGAAUUACUGGGCGUAAAGGGCGCGUAGGCGGCCCGCUAAGUCGAACGUGAAAUCCCCAGGCUCAACCUGGGAACUGCGUCCGAUACUGGCAGGCUUGAAUCCGGGAGAGGGAUGUGGAAUUCCAGGUGUAGCGGUGAAAUGCGUAGAUAUCUGGAGGAACACCGGUGGCGAAGGCGGCAUCCUGGACCGGUAUUGACGCUGAGGCGCGAAAGCUAGGGUAGCAAACGGG
rnacentral:rRNA from 1 species